CACUGGGGAUUGCUAUACUUUGUAUACUCCCCUGAGCUCUAAUCACUUAGCUCUUUUAAGAGCUGUUCCUGAUACCCUCUCCUGGAGAAGAGGUCUUUCACACAUGGUCCUGGAGGACAGAGGCUGAUCCAGCGUGGAGGGAAGACGGCGAGACUCCAGUUAAGCUACGGCGGUUGUGGACUCUGUGGUGGUUGUGGUGUCCGGUGCGGUGCUUGUGGUCCUCGGCGCAAGCUUUGAAGCGUCUGUCAAAUGAAGGUACUCGGUCAGAGUACAGGUGAU